rnacentral:rRNA from 1 species
UACGGGGGGGGCAAGCGUUGUUCGGAAUUACUGGGCGUAAAGGGCUCGUAGGCGGCCAACUAAGUCAGACGUGAAAUCCCUCGGCUUAACCGGGGAACUGCGUCUGAUACUGGAUGGCUUGAGUUUGGGAGAGGGAUGCGGAAUUCCAGGUGUAGCGGUGAAAUGCGUAGAUAUCUGGAGGAACACCUGUGGCGAAAGCGGCGCACUGGACCAUAACUGACGCUGAUGCGCGAAAGCUAGGGGAGCAAACAGG